rnacentral:rRNA from 1 species
UACGUAGGUGGCAAGCGUUUGUCCGGAUUUACUGGGCGUAAAGCGCGCGCAGGCGGACUGAUCAGUCUGGGGUGAAAUCUCCCGGCUCAACUGGGAGCGGUCCCUGGAUACUGUCAGUCUUGAGAGACCUAGAGGAGAGCGGAAUUCCCGGUGUAGUGGUGGAAUGCGUAGAUAUCGGGAGGAACACCUGUGGCGAAAGCGGCGCACUGGACCACAACUGACGCUGAGGCGGCGAAAGCUAGGGGAGCAAACAGGG